rnacentral:rRNA from 1 species
UUGAACGCUGGCGGCAGGCCUAACACAUGCAAGUCGAGCGGUAACAUUUCUAGCUUGCUAGAGGAUGACGAGCGGCGGACGGGUGAGUAACGCGUAGAAAUCUACCUAGUAGUGGGGGAUAGCCCAGAGAAAUUUGGAUUAAUACCGCAUACGCCCUACGGGGGAAAGCGGGGGAUCUUCGGACCUCGUGCUAUUAGAUGAGUCUGCGUCGGAUUAGCUUGUUGGUGAGGUAAUGGCUCACCAAGGCGACGAUCCGUAGCUGGUCUGAGAGGAUGACCAGCCACACUGGAACUGAGACACGGUCCAGACUCCUACGGGAGGCAGCAGUGGGGAAUAUUGGACAAUGGGCGCAAGCCUGAUCCAGCAAUGCCGCGUGUGUGAAGAAGGCCUUAGGGUUGUAAAGCACUUUCAGCAGUGAGGAAAGGGGUGUCGUUAAUAGCGCCAUCCUGUGACGUUAACUGCAGAAGAAGGACCGGCUAACUCCGUG